UGAUUUGGUCAAAUGAAGUUGGGAAGGGU
rnacentral:piRNA from 1 species